rnacentral:rRNA from 1 species
CAAUAGCGUAUAUUAAAGUUGUUGCGGUUAAAAAGCUCGUAGUUGGAUUUCUGUUGGGAACGACCGGUCCGCCCAUUGGGUGUGUAUCUGGCUUGUUCUCGGCAUCUUCUUGGUGAACGUUGCUGCACUUGACUGUGUGGAGCGCUACCCAGGACUUUUACUUUGAGGAAAUUAGAGUGUUUCAAGCAGGCAUAUGCCUUGAAUACAUUAGCAUGGAAUAAUAAGAUAGGACCUCGGUUCUAUUUUGUUGGUUUCUAGAGCUGAGGUAAUGAUUAAUAGGGAUAGUUGGGGGCAUUCGUAUUUAACUGUCAGAGGUAAAAUUCUUGGAUUUGUUAAAGACGGACUACUGCGAAAGCAUUUGCCAAGGAUGUUUUCAUUGA